rnacentral:rRNA from 1 species
GCUUACGGCCAUACCACUUUGAACACGCCCGAUCUCGUCCGAUCUCGGAAGCUAAGCAGGGUCGGGCCUGGUUAGUACUUGGAUGGGAGACCGCCUGGGAAUACCAGGUGCUGUAAGCU